GACGGAGGAUGCAAGCGUUAUCCGGAAUGAUUGGGCGUAAAGCGUCCGCAGGUGGCAGUUCAAGUCUGCUGUCAAAGACCGGGGCUUAACUUCGGAAAGGCAGUGGAAACUGAACAGCUAGAGUAUGGUAGGGGGCAGAGGGAAUUCCUGGUGUAGCGGUGAAAUGCGUAGAGAUCAGGAAGAACAUCGGUGGCGAAGGCGGCUCACUGGGUCUCAACUGACGCUGAUGCACGAAAGCUAGGGUAGCGAACGGG
rnacentral:rRNA from 1 species